rnacentral:rRNA from 1 species
UGAGUAAUCUGCCCUCGACACUGGGAUAGCCCGGGGAAACCCGGAUUAAUACCGGAUAGCCUUUCGAGCUCUCGGGCUCGUCAGAAAAGGAUGGCUUCGGCUUUCGGUUGAGGAUGAGCUUGCGGCGGAUUAGCUUGUUGGUGAGGUAACGGCUCACCAAGGCGACAAUCCGUAGCUGGUCUGAGAGGACGAUCAGCCACACUGGGACUGAGACACGGCCCAGACCUCUACGGGAG